rnacentral:misc_RNA from 1 species
GAUGAAGAACGUAGCGAAAUGCGAUACUUGGUGUGAAUUGCAGAAUCCCGUGAACCAUCGAGUCUUUGAACGCAAGUUGUGCCCGAAGCCACUAGGCCGAGGGCACGCCUGCCUGGGCGUCACACGUCGUUGCCCCCCCAUCUACUCCUUCGGGAUUGCGGGGGGGCGGAUGAUGGCCUCCCGUGCGCCUAGCCGCGCGGUUGGCAUAAAUACCAAGUCCUCGGCGACGCACGCCACGACAAUCGGUGGUUGCGAAACCUCGGUUGCCCGUCGUGUGCGUUCGUCGCGCAUCGAGGGCUCGAAAAAAUGCUCGGCUCCGGCUGGGCUUUCAACGCGACCCCAGGUCAGGCGGGGUUACCCGCUGAAUUUAAGCAUAUCAAUAAGCGGAGGA